rnacentral:rRNA from 1 species
UGAGUUUGAUUAUGGCUCAGAACGAACGCUGGCGGCAGGCUUAACACAUGCAAGUCGAAGGAGAAGCAGGGCUUCGGCCCUGUGGACACUGGCGGACGGGUGAGUAACGCGUGGGAACCUGCCCUGGGGUGGGGGACAACCGCUGGAAACGGCGGCUAAUACCGCAUACGCCCUUCGGGGGAAAGCUUUAUGCGCCCUGGGAUGGUCCCGCGUCGGAUUAGCUUGUUGGUAGGGUAACGGCCUACCAAGGCGACGAUCCGUAGCUGGUCUGAGAGGAUGAUCAGCCACACUGGAACUGAGACACGGUCCAGACUCCUACGGGAGGCAGCAGUGGGGAAUAUUGGACAAUGGGGGCAACCCUGAUCCAGCCAUGCCGCGUGGGUGAAGAAGGCCUUAGGGUUGUAAAACCCUUUCAGCGGGGAAGAUGAUGACGGUACCCGCAGAAGAAGCCCCGGCUAACUCCGUGCCAGCAGCCGCGGUAAUACGGAGGGGGCUAGCGUUGUUCGGAAUUACUGGGCGUAAAGGGCGUGUAGGCGGCUUGUCGAGUCAGGCGUGAAAGCCCCGGGCUUAACC